rnacentral:rRNA from 1 species
UAAUAGUGUAUAUUAAAGUUGUUGCAGUUAAAAAGCUCGUAGUUGAAUGUUGGUGUCGAACGAGCGGUCAGCUUCGGCUGUACUGCUCUCUCGACUCCUUCCUUCUGUGGACUACGUCGCACUUUACUGUGUGGCGCUAGGACGCAGAUCGUUUACUGUGAAAAAAUUAGAGUGUUCAAAGCAGGCCGUACGCUUGAAUACAUUAGCAUGGAAUAAUGGAAUAGGACGUCGGGCCUAUUUUGUUGGCUCUAGGACCGUCGUAAUGAUUAAUAGGGACAGUUGGGGCCGUUUAUAUUCCGUAGUCAGAGGUGAAAUUCUUGGAUUUACGGAAGAUAAACUACUGCGAAAGCAUUCGGCAAGGAUGUUUUCGUUAA